ACGGGUGAGUAACGCGUAGGAAUCUACCUUGUAGUGGGGAAUAACCUGGGGAAACCCAAGCUAAUACCGCAUAAGCCCUAAGGGGGAAAGCAGGGGACCGAAAGGCCUUGUGCUAUGAGAUGAGCCUGCGUCAGAUUAGCUAGUUGGUGGGGUAAAGGCCUACCAAGGCGACGAUCUGUAGCUGGUCUGAGAGGACGACCAGCCACACUGGGACUGAGACACGGCCCAGACUCCUACGGGAGGCAGCAGUGGGGAAUAUUGGACAAUGGGCGCAAGCCUGAUCCAGCAAUGCCGCGUGUGUGAAGAAGGCCUGCGGGUUGUAAAGCACUUUCAGUGGGGAGGAAGGCCUUAGUGUUAAUAACACUGAGGAUUGACGUUACCCACAGAAGAAGCACCGGCUAACUCUGUGCCAGCAGCCGCGGUAAUACAGAGGGUGCAAGCGUUAAUCGGAAUUACUGGGCGUAAAGGGUGCGUAAGUGGUUAAUUAAGUCAGAUGUGAAAUCCCAAGGCUUAACCUUGGAAUUGCAUAUGAUACUGGUUAGCUAGAGUACAGAAGAGGGAAGUGGAAUUUCCGGUGUAGC
rnacentral:rRNA from 1 species